rnacentral:rRNA from 1 species
GAUGAACGCUGGCGGCGUGCCUAAUACAUGCAAGUCGAGCGAACAGACGAGGAGCUUGCUCCUCUGACGUUAGCGGCGGACGGGUGAGUAACACGUGGAUAACCUACCUAUAAGACUGGGAUAACUUCGGGAAACCGGAGCUAAUACCGGAUAAUAUAUUGAACCGCAUGGUUCAAUAGUGAAAGACGGUUUUGCUGUCACUUAUAGAUGGAUCCGCGCCGCAUUAGCUAGUUGGUAAGGUAACGGCUUACCAAGGCGACGAUGCGUAGCCGACCUGAGAGGGGGAUAGCCGACACUGGAACUGAGACACGGACCAGACUACUACGGGAGGCAGCAGUAGGGAAUCUUCCGCAAUGGGCGAAAGCCUGACGGAGCAACGCAGCGUGAGUGAUGAAGGUCUUCGGAUCGUAAAACUCUGUUAUGAGGGAAGAACAAAUGUGUAAGUAACUAUGCACGUCGUGACGGUACCUAAUCAGAAAGCCACGGCUAACUACGUG